GACGAACGCUGGCGGCGGGCUUAACACAUGCAAGUCGAACGGAAAGGCCCUGGUGUGGUUGGGUGCAAGAGUGGCGAACGGGUGAGUGACACAGGAAUAACCUGCCCUUGACUUUGUGAUAACUGCAGAAAACUGGGGCUGAUACCGGAUAGGAGCUCCUGCUUCGUGGAGGGGGUUGGAAAGUUUGGGAGGUUGGGGAUGGACUGGCGGCGGAUCAGCUUGUUGGUGGGGUAGGGGCUUACCAAGGCUUCGACGGGGAGCCGGCCUGAGAGGGUGACGGGCCACCUUGGGACAGAGAUACGGCCCAGACUCCUACGGGAGGCAGCAGUGGGGAAUAUUGCACGAUGGGCGGAAGCCUGAUGCAGCAACGCCGCGUGCGGGAUGAUGGCCUUCGGGUUGUCAACCGCUUUCGCCUGUGACGAAGCGUGAUUGACGGUAAUGGGUAAAGAAGCACCGGCUAACUACGUG
rnacentral:rRNA from 1 species